AUGGAUUCCUGGCUGCGGGCCGGGCAGUUAGGAGCCGUUCCCUCCCCAGCAAGCCCAAGGUCAAGCUCCUUAAAAACGCAGCAGAGGCCUGAGGCUGGACGAACCGUGAGGGAGGGUCCCAGACCCAGGGUCCGUCCUCGCCUUUAUUUCUGUAAAAACAGCACGGGAGCAAUUCUGGGGGAAUCGUGUCCCCACUGCAAGUAUUGCAUUGGAUAUGAAAUAGUCAAAACCCAAGGUGACAAGUGGGCCAGCCUGGGGAAGGGGACAUGUCGGUCCUUGAAGGCACAGCAGCAUUGGCCAGAGGAGGCAGCCCCAGCCCCAUGGCCAGCUCAUCUCCAGCACCCCAUGGCCCGGAUGAGGGCCUCUGAGGCGGAGACGGAGUGGGACAGCCCCUCAGCCCCUGCCUCCAGCGACCUCUUCCGGGUUGUGCCCCUGUUCUGAGGGUGAGGGGAAGACUUGGCCACCUGGGGGCCAGACAGCACAGGACACAGGCCACUCCUGUGCCUCCAGCACAAGGUCGAGGCUGUUCAUAGGCCUCUCCUGAGGUCGGGGAGACCGAGGGUCCAAGGCCAAGACCUGCAGGGGGUCUAACGGGGAUGGAGAGCACAGCCCUAUCCCUCCUCCUUGUGGGAUGGGGGGGGGGCCUUGCCAGGGCAACCUGGGAAGCCUCUGAGCCAGGGACUCCUCCCGGCUGGCUCGUCAUAGGUGGGGGGCAAGGCCGGGGCUGGCAAGCCCACCCCCCCCACCAUGUACCCACAACCUUCACGUGGGAGUCAGAGGUGGCUGACGUGGUGGUGGGGACAGGCAACUUUGGCACAGUACUGAGGGUGGGCAAAGGAAUGGUGGUCAAGGUGGCUGUGACGCCGGAGGUGACCACUCAGAAGUUGUGCUCGGCUGUGGCGCAGGCGCGUUCCCUUGGGG
rnacentral:lncRNA from 1 species